rnacentral:lncRNA from 12 species
CACCCAGCACAUGGUGUCCUGUUUACCUGCCUCCAGGACCUGGCUCCAUCUCAGGUGCCACUCCAGCCGGGCCUACGCACAGGCAUUGCCAAACCCUUUGCCCACGAGCCUUGGCCUGGCAGCAGCACGCCUUCCUGGGGACUCCCCGCCAGCCCCAGCCUUUGUCCUAGCCCACUCCCUGCCACUCCAACACGGACACCUCCUCUUGGCUCAUAGCACAGUGCCUGGCACACUGUAGGCUCUCCGGAAGUGGUUCCUGACAAUUAUAAGGGCUCCCUGAGGAUGACAAUAGCCUCCAGUACGUGGGCCUCUGUGAAGGAAGAGCUUCUCCCAGCCUCAGAGGCUCUGGGGCUGUGGCAGAGGAAGAGGAGGAGAAGGAAAGAGAAGAAGAGAGCCAAAGGGAGCAAGAAGGGAAAAAGAGGGGGGCACCACAGAGAAAAGCCACAGAGGCAGGCAAGAAAUGGGAGAGCAGAAAACCAUAUCCUCAGAUGACCAGCCUCCAGAAAGGAAGCUGAGGUUCCCCCCAGCUCAAAGGAGAAGCAGACAUAAAUCCCAAAGGCUGUAGGGGAGCUUGGAAAGCAUCCAGUCCAACCCACUUGUUUCAUUUAUGAAAAAUCCAAUGCCCAGAGAGGGAACACGGCUUGCCCAAGGAUACACAGCGAGGCAGGAUGCAACUCAAACCAGAGCCACAGAACAGUGGCCCCGGGCCAGAAGACACUUCUUAACUUUCUGCUGAGCAGCAAAAAGGGCCUUCAGAUGCUCUUGCUCUGCUUGGCUUCCAGAGAUGCAGGAACAAGAAGAGCAGCCAUCCCAGCUCACCCAGCCUGGAUUCAGGUGCCAGAGGACAGUACCCUAAGCCUACAACAGUCACUGCUAACCUUGUACAACUAUCAACAGAAACAGGGGAGGAGAGCAACGAAUACCUGUGGCUUGGGCUCCAAAGUCUAGAAGAGGAGCCAAGGAAACAACUGAGAUGGACAGAGCGCCCUCACAAGAUCCCAUUGUCUUCAGACACUGCUGGCCCAGGGCCUCCACCUCAGGGCCUCCUGCCUCCCCAGCAUUUCCGGGGGGAACGGAGGCUCCCCAUCACCAGAAACCCAUGUUGUGCUUUGCUCUCCCGGCCUGAGGGUCAGGCUGCCAGGCCACCAGGCAGUGCCAGGCACAAGGCUGGCGGCACCUAGUCAACUCGAGAAGCUGCUGGUGAGCAGGGUGAGUGCCUGGGGCUGCUGGCGUUGGUGCUGGCCGAUGCCCUUGCUGGGCAAGUCUGAGGGGGGAGGCAGGGGCGGGUGGGGGCGUGUCACCAAGGAAGUGGGUGUUGGGGUGCUGAGCAAGGGAGCAGAGGAAGGUCAGAGUGGAGGUUUUCACUGAUCCGAGUGGGCGGGAGUAAAGAGAAUUCAUAAAAAGUUUCUUUCUUCUUUAAUGGUCUUUUUUCCCUAUCCGAGGGCCCGGGCGCGGGAGGUGAGGGAAGAGGGGAGGGGGCAGGGCAGGCCCUCCACAAGUGACACUUAAUUCCCGGUCUGGACUGGGCCGGCGUUUGAAAGCAGCUAAAUUAGCAAAACAGAAGUCAACUGUCGAUUGCUUCAUUGGAGGAUUAAGUGUGAUAAAUGGGGGGUUUGUUCGCUCCAAGGUCCAGAUGUUGUGUCUAAGUGAGGGGUUUUUUCAAGGUUUUUUUUUUUUCUUUUCUUUUUCUUUCUUUUUCCUUCCCUUUUCUUUUCUUUUCUUUUCUUUCUUUCUCUUUCUUUCUUUCUUUCUUUCUUUUUUCCCCCUCUUUUUUUUCUUUCUUUUCUUUUCUUUUUUUUUUAACAUUCUUGGCCCAGGGCCCAUAUAUAUUUUGGAUACUGCUGGGAGUAUAUAAUAUCAUUGGAAAAUGAUGCGGUCUGCUAACCUUUUAAAUAACAUUUCCUCCCUCCUCUAUUUUCUAAUAGUUUGUUUUUCUUUCCAUGUUUGCCUUUUAUUGGGGGAAAUUUUUUUUGGAAAUUAAUGAGGCUCGAGUUUGGAGACCAAAAUAAAAAAAAAAAGAUUUAAAAGAGGGGAGUGUAA